CACAUUUCGUACAACUCACAUUCCCCAUCAAAACACAUUCAACUCAAAUCUCUCUCUCUCUCUCUCUCUCUCUCUCUCUCUCCCUAAAUUAUUAAUUUUUUCAGAAUUAAUUUAUAUUAUCAUUAUGAAUUAAUCUAGUAAAAAAUUUCGAGACUAUACGUGAUAAAUAAUUAUUUCAUAUUUCCUAACAAGAUAUCAAAGUACGUAAAAUUUUCUGAGUUCCAGUCAAACCAAACUGAAUUUUAGUAUUAUUAUUAUUUUUUAAUUUAAUUCAAGUUCAUAUCAUGGACUAGUAAAAAAUUUCGAAUUCAGACGUGAGAAAAAAUGUGCUAAAUAUAAAAAAAUUUAAAUAUUAUUCUCAAGCAAUUUAAACUUUUGAAAAAAAAUAGCUGCUUCACAUUAUUUAACAUCUUUCUCUGUUAGUUAAGCUCGUUGUUCACGAAUUAGUUCGUGUUCAAUUCGAAAUAAGCUGGCGCAUUAGUUUCUCUAUCUCACACACACAUAUACAUACAGAGUCACAUGCGGUGAAGUAAUCUUAAUUUUCUAAGCUUUUAGUUGUCAAAGAAUAAGCUUUUAAUUUAUAAUAUAGUGAACAACGCACAAACCCAAAUUUGUAUAAAGGAAGCCUUUCUAUAGAUAGAUUUAGGGAUAACUUCAAAACCCCCCCUGUGGUUUCAUAUUUUUUCACUUUAGUACCCUGUGGUUUAAACUCUAUAAAUUUGCUCCCUUGUGGUUUCGUUUUUCUCUUUUUAUUAUUAAUUUUAUUAUUUUUUUUAAAUCAGUGAGAAAGUUAAAAUUAAAGAGUACUAAAGUAAAUAUUCGAUAAAUUUAGAUAGGUAUCUGAAGUUUUUUGUAUAUGAUUUAAUGAAAUAUUAAGAAAAAAAACUGCUGAAAAGAUAAAAACAAAAACCAUAGGGGACAAAUUGAUACACUUUAAAGCAUAGGGUACUUAAGUGAGAAAGUGUGAAACAACAUGGGGUUUUUUUGAAGUUUUUUCAUAGAUUUAUGAGUAAUGCUUCUACAUUUUUUUUUUUUCGUUACCGUUCAUUCACUCCCAUUCAGUGGUUCAGAUUUAAUUUUCUUAAAAUUGUGACCUGCAAUAGCAGGUCACUUUAGGAGAGGUACCGAUUACCAGGUACCUCGAAAAAAGGUAUUUUUGUCUUUUAAUACAUGAGCAAUUUAGUCAUUUUAUCUCUACUAUGUUAUCAAAAAUUUUAUUCUCUCUUUGUUUCUUUUUUUUUUCUUUCUACCUUUCCUCUUAUAUUUUGGCAUUUCAUAUAAGAAAAGUUUCAAAUUAUUUGACAAUAAGAACGUGAGAUUAUUUUGUGGACCAAUUAUGGAGUUUGUCUAUAUCCAUCUUGAAUCCGACCCGAAUCAUAUAUAAAGUUUAAUAUUAUAUUCGAAUUUAUAUUUUCAAAAAUUUAAAUUUACUAUAAAAUAUUUUGAAAUAUGGUAAAGAGAAAUAAUUGUUUCGGGUUCCGGUCUUCGGGUUUGGGUUCGGUUUUCGGUUUCGAAAAAUUGGUCAGUUUCGGGUUUAGAUCUGUAUUUUUGAAAUUCGUCGAGUUCAGAAAUAAGUUUUGCGAUUGUUAGUCGGGUUCGAAUUCAAAUUCCUAACCCUUUUUUCUGAAUAGUAAUCCUAAUCUUUUUAAUUUUUAUAUUUAAAAUUAUGUUUAAAAUAUUUAUUAGCUUUAACAGUUAAAAUGUCAUUCUAUUUAAAACGUUUAUUAUUUUUAACGGUUUCAGAUUGUUCUUAAUUUUAUUCAGUUUAAUAGGUUGAAAUCAGAUCUUUGAUAGAAUAGUUUAAAGUCCGAUCAGUCAAAUCAAUCGGUUCAAUCUGAUUUUUAAAUUAUUGAUACUAAAUUAAUUAAAAUGAAUAAUAAAUGUU
rnacentral:lncRNA from 1 species